GACGAACGCUGGCGGCGUGCCUAAUACAUGCAAGUCGAACGCACUCUCGUUUAGAUUGAAGGAGCUUGCUCCUGAUUGAUAAACAUUUGAGUGAGUGGCGGACGGGUGAGUAACACGUGGGUAACCUGCCCUAAAGUGGGGGAUAACAUUUGGAAACAGAUGCUAAUACCGCAUAAAACCUAACACCGCAUGGUGUAGGGUUGAAAGAUGGUUUCGGCUAUCACUUUAGGAUGGACCCGCGGUGCAUUAGUUAGUUGGUGAGGUAAAGGCUCACCAAGACCGUGAUGCAUAGCCGACCUGAGAGGGUAAUCGGCCACACUGGGACUGAGACACGGCCCAGACUCCUACGGGAGGCAGCAGUAGGGAAUCUUCCACAAUGGACGAAAGUCUGAUGGAGCAACGCCGCGUGAGUGAAGAAGGUUUUCGGAUCGUAAAACUCUGUUGUUGACGAAGGAAAUGUAUCUGAUAGUAACUGAUCAGGUAGUGACGGUAUCCAACCAGAAAGCCACGG
rnacentral:rRNA from 1 species